CUCUUUAAGUGGUCUGAUAAUUAACAAGGAAAUGACAGCUGAUGAGACAGAAGCGAACCGCAUUAUCCUGAUUGGUCACCAAAUCCUGCCGCACACAGGUUUUGUUAGAUAUUGAAUUUUGAGAAGCUUACAGGUAUUAAGCAAUGUUUCUUGCUGAAAGAGGGGCUUGGGAGGGGGCUUCAGGAAGAAGAGAAAUGGUACAAGCAGCCAGGAGCCUAAAUUUCUAUUUUUCAGCAUUAUAUGCUUAAUGUGAAAGCAUUAUGAUUGGACCAAUAAAGAUAAAUUGUAAUAUUUAAGACUUCAGGGACUAUAUCAUCACAAUUUAAUCCAUGUUCAAAGUUAAUCCACAUUCUCUGCACCUGUUAAAAAUGGCAGGGUUUGAAUAAGGACCUAUAUGUGUAGAUUAAUCUGUGACAAAAGCUUUGGGCACAAAUCCUUUAUUUCUUCAUAAAAAUUGCAUCAAUGCAGCACACUUAUUUUAUUUCUAACUUCAGGCUAUUCUAUUUACAGCACAAGCUACAAAUUUUGUGUGAAAUAUUCAAACGACAAAUUACUGAAUAAUUGGACCUUCAUUAUAUCUGCCAGGAAAUGUGGUUGAAAACAAUUGCAGCUCCUUCUUCACUCUGUUCAGAGAGCUGGGUCAAUUUGGAGCUGCUUGAAUUCUCCAAUGCCGAAUAUCAUGCUUUUUUAAUCACUGGUCGCUUUCUUGUGAAUCCCAGGGCACCACAAAAGGUCCUUCUGAUCACCAGGCUGCGCACGCCAUCCCCUGCCUGAGUGAAGGCCAGCACCUGGACGCUGUAAUUGGUGAACUUCUCCAAGCCUCUCAGCUCUACUUGUGAGUCCAUCGUGGUGAUGUUCUGCAUCUCUCCCCAGUCUGC